rnacentral:lncRNA from 1 species
GUCUUCGUGUCCAGAACUUGUUUUUCUGAGCCUGUGAACAAGGCUAGCCUGAAAGUCUGGCCUACCUCCACACCUCCCCCAAAGCCCACUCCAUUUUUAUAUUGCUCCGAGGUUAAUAGCCAUGUCGUGUGGGGUCAUAGAAGACAUCUGUGUCUCAGAUAAUAUGCUUACGGUGAUUACCACACAUAAUUGACUGACCUCCCCUCAUUCUUUCCCUGCUGCAGGCCGCGGCUGAUAGGAUGAAGCAAGCCACAAGAGCUUAUUUUCCAUCACACACCAUUGUGCUGCUGAGCAAAUAUUUUAGCAAGCUUUGAAUGAACCACCUUUUCAAGCUCUAGGUUUUCAGAGUGAAAGUAGGAAGCCAUGACCAACCUGAGAGUAUUAGAUUUUAAAUCAGCUUUGGGCCACCCUACUUAGAGCACUGUUGUGGGCAUCCCAGGGAACCAGGCUUGGGACAUGAACAUCGUGGGAUGUUCCCUUCAACUUCAUCUUUCACUUUGUCUUGCAGGGGGUUGGGGGAGAUUCUUGAUACUACUCAUUGCAGCAUCUGGGUGUUUAUAGGGAGGGAAUAAUUAGCCCUUGGUGUCCAGGCAAUACCCCAAAGGGUAACUGGAGUCCAGGCUUUUGCAGUCAGCUCAUCCCGUCACAUCACUGGCCACACGAGAUCCAGCUCCUAGCUCCCGCAUCCACCUGCCCUCACAGGGCCACCUGACCUUCACAAAGGACAUACUAAGCUCUCAACAAAUGGACCCCUCCUUCUGCAAAGACAACUACCACUCCUGAUCCCAGAGAGAAUGGAAAGUAGGAGACUGAGUUGAAAAAUAAUCCCCAAAGCAAACUUCAAAAUGUUACAUUAAGAUUUUAAAACUUUUUAAUAAUGUUUUACCUUAGCUCUAUUCCAUCUAUCUAGCAAUUAAUCCAUCAGUCUUCACAUAAUACACACCUACAGGAAACGCAAUUACACAUCUCUGGGCUGGAUUCCACUGUGAAUUACUAAUGUGUUAACACUAGGGAAUUCCAAGCUCCCUUGACUUUCAGCAUCCCCUCUCCCCAUCCCAUUCCUCCCAAAUAAGCUCUUGAGUGUCACAGAGGACAAGCUGGGGUUCAGUGACUCCACCGGGGUUUUGGCCUAGCUGCAGAGAACCAAUUAGAUUCCAACUCAGUGAGAUCACCUCACCCAGGUCUAAAAUCUCAAUGUUUGCACUCUAAAACUCACAUCAACUCCCCAAGCUUCUAUAGUGCUACAUCUCAGGAAGAUUAACGACAAGAGAUCCACCUAGAAUUGUCAAUUCACCAACAUUUCACGUAAGUCAUCCAUG